AGCGAACGCUGGCGGCAGGCCUAACACAUGCAAGUCGAACGAAGCCUUCGGGCUUAGUGGCGGACGGGUGAGUAACACGUGGGAACGUACCUUUUGGUUCGGAAUAACGCAGAGAAAUUUGCGCUAAUACCGGAUGAGCCCUUCGGGGGAAAGAUUUAUCGCCGAAAGAUCGGCCCGCGUUGGAUUAGGUAGUUGGUGUGGUAAAGGCGCACCAAGCCUACGAUCCAUAGCUGGUCUGAGAGGAUGAUCAGCCACACUGGGACUGAGACACGGCCCAGACUCCUGCGGGAGGCAGCAGUGGGGAAUCUUGCGCAAUGGGCGAAAGCCUGACGCAGCCAUGCCGCGUGAAUGAUGAAGGUCUUAGGAUUGUAAAAUUCUUUCACCGGGGACGAUAAUGACGGUACCCGGAGAAGAAGCCCCGGCUAACUUCGUGCCAGCCGCCGCGUAAAAC
rnacentral:rRNA from 1 species